UAUACCACCACUUUGGUGUUCUGUCUUGGAUAAACGCUUGCACUUAGGCAGUAAUUUUUUUUUGUUAGAUAGUUAGCUCAAAUUUGUAUCAGUUGGGGAAAAAAUGGAAUAAAUUGACGAAUUUGUUGUCUCAAAUAUUUGGAAAAGGCAUGAAGCUCUCGCUGGAAUCCACACCAGGAGCAACAACAUAACAUUUGUUCGAACUUUGCGACUUAGUGAGACGUUCGUUGGUAAGGUUAGGAGGACAUUUGAGGCCUCUAAAGGUAAUUAUGAGGCAACAGCAAUGUGGGCCGAAUUCAAAGUGACUGUGUCCGAUAAUUUUGACGACUUCAUCUUGCUGGACUUUUGCACUCCAAACUCGCCGGAUCUGAAUCCGAUGGAUUUUUUUCGUGAGGGCACGAUCGUACGACAAACUAACCUAACCCCCUGCAAACACAAGCACACGGUUUGAAGUUUUGGACUUAAAUCCUGGUACUUUAGAGGACGUAAUUACUUUAUUGAAAGUGAAAGUUCCUCACAGCAUCCUAGAAAAGUGUAAGAUAACUAUAUCCAAAGAAAUUAUAUACCUCGAAAAAUUGUCUUUAGCUCACUUGGAAGGUUAUUGCAUUCUCUGAACUAUCAAGUCGUCAUGUCUCCAAUGUUUUAAGUAUAAUACUUAGGACUAUAAUGAUUGCUGUACUUUAAAAUUACUUUCUAAAGAAAAUUAUUUUUCAGAGAACUCUUUAAUUUAUUGUAACAAUUCUUCAAUUUCAUUGUUUGUUUUCUAUGAAUAUAUUAAAUUUUAUAACUAA
rnacentral:lncRNA from 1 species